UNUGACUUGAGUGCAGAAGGGGAGAGUGGAAUUCCAUGUGUAGCGGUGAAAUGCGUAGAUAUAUGGAGGAACACCAGUGGCGAAAGCGGCUCUCUGGUCUGUCACUGACGCUGAGGCUCGAAAGCGUGGGUAGCGAACAGGAUUAGAUACCCUGGUAGUCCACGCCGUAAACGAUGAGUGCUAGGUGUUAGGCCCUUUCCGGGGCUUAGUGCCGGAGCUAACGCAAUAAGCACUCCGCCUGGGGAGUACGACCGCAAGGUUGAAACUCAAAGGAAUUGACGGGGGCCCGCACAAGCGGUGGAGCAUGUGGUUUAAUUCGAAGCAACGCGAAGAACCUUACCAGGUCUUGACAUCCCGAUGCUAUUCUUAGAGAUAGGAAGUUACUUCGGUACAUCGGAGACAGGUGGUGCAUGGUUGUCGUCAGCUCGUGUCGUGAGAUGUUGGGUUAAGUCCCGCAACGAGCGCAACCCUUAUUGUUAGUUGCCAUCAUUAAGUUGGGCACUCUAGCGAGACUGCCGGUAAUAAACCGGAGGAAGGUGGGGAUGACGUCAAAUCAUCAUGCCCCUUAUGACCUGGGCUACACACGUGCUACAAUGGCCGGUACAACGAGUUGCGAGCCGGUGACGGCAAGCUAAUCUCUGAAAGCCGAUCUCAGUUCGGAUUGGAGGCUGCAACUCGCCUCCAUGAAGUCGGAAUCGCUAGUAAUCGCGGAUCAGCACGCCGCGGUGAAUACGUUCCCGGGCCUUGUACACACCGCCCGUCACACCACGAGAGUUUGUAACACCCGAAGUCGGUGAGGUANCCUUUUAGGG
rnacentral:rRNA from 1 species